UUUUUACAAUAUACCUGUUCGAUACUUUUAUAAUGCAUAGAAUAAGGUGUAUAAAAACUUGUAUUUAGUCUCGAAUAAACUAUUGUGAAGACAA